rnacentral:rRNA from 1 species
GACGUAGGGUGCAAGCGUUGUCCGGAUUUACUGGGCGUAAAGCGCGCGUAGGCGGUCUGUUAAGUGCACAAGUGAAAGCUCCGGGCUCAACUCGGAAACUGCUUUGCAUACUGGCAGGCUGGAGGGACGGAGAGGUCUGUGGAAUUCCUGGUGUAACGGUGAAAUGUGUUGAUAUCAGGAGGAACACCCAUGGCGAAGGCAGCAGACUGGCCGUUUCCUGACGCUGAGGCGCGAAAGCGUGGGUAGCAAACAGG